UACGGGGGGGGCAAGCGUUGUUCGGAAUUACUGGGCGUAAAGGGCUCGUAGGCGGCCAACUAAGUCGGACGUGAAAUCCCUCGGCUUAACCGGGGAACUGCGUCCGAUACUGGAUGGCUUGAGAUUGGGAGAGGGAUGCGGAAUUCCAGGUGUAGCGGUGAAAUGCGUAGAUAUCAGGAGGAACACCGGUGGCGAAGGCGGGUCUCUGGGCCGAUACUGACGCUGAGGAGCGAAAGCGUGGGGAGCGAACAGG
rnacentral:rRNA from 1 species